rnacentral:rRNA from 1 species
CCUACGGGAGGCAGCAGUGGGGAAUAUUGGACAAUGGGCGGAAGCCUGAACCAGCCAAGUCGCGUGAGGGAUUAAGGCCCUGCGGGUCGUAAACCUCUGUUGCCGGGGAGCAGUGGUCCGGACGCGUCCGGACCGGGAGAGUACCCGGAGAAAAAGCAUCGGCUAACUCCGUGCCAGCAGCCGCGGUAAUAAGGAGGAUGCGAGCGUUGUCCGGAAUUACUGGGUGUAAAGGGAGCGUAGGCGGGGAUGCAAGUUGGGUGUUAAAUCGACCGGCUAAACUGGUAGUCGCACGCAAAACUGCAGCUCUUGAGUGAAGUAGAGGCAGGCGGAAUUCCUAGUGUAGCGGUGAAAUGCGUAGAUAUUAGGAGGAACACCAGUGGCGAAGGCGGCCUGCUGGGCUUUUACUGACGCUGAGGCUCGAAAGUGUGGGGAGCAAACAGGAUUAGAUACCCCAGUAGUC